UAAAUAUCUAAAUUAAGUAUAUUAUUUACAAUAAUAAGAUGUUAUUAAACUUUAUUUAAAUUUAAUUUAUUAGUUUUAUUUUUAUUUAUUUUUU
rnacentral:tRNA from 1 species